rnacentral:rRNA from 1 species
GAUGAACGCUGGCGGCGUGCCUAAUACAUGCAAGUCGAGCGAACAGACGCGGAGCUUGCUCCUCUGACGUUAGCGGCGGACGGGUGAGUAACACGUGGAUAACCUACCUAUAAGACUGGGAUAACUUCGGGAAACCGGAGCUAAUACCGGAUAAUAUAUUGAACCGCAUGGUUCAAUAGUGAAAGACGGUUUUGCUGUCACUUAUAGAUGGAUCCGCGCCGCAUUAGCUAGUUGGUAAGGUAACGGCUUACCAAGGCGACGAUGCGUAGCCGACCUGAGAGGGUGAUCGGCCACACUGGAACUGAGACACGGUCCAGACUCCUACGGGAGGCAGCAGUAGGGAAUCUUCCGCAAUGGGCGAAAGCCUGACGGAGCAACGCCGCGUGAGUGAUGAAGGUCUUCGGAUCGUAAAACUCUGUUAUUAGGGAAGAACAAAUGUGUAAGUAACUAUGCACGUCUUGACGGUACCUAAUCAGAAAGCCACGGCUAACUACGUG